CACAUUUGCUACUUUUUACCUUUGUCAUUUUAGUGUCUCAUAAUAUGGGACACUAAUAAUAUGGGACACUAAUAAUAUGGGACACUAAAAUGACAAAGGUAAAAAGUAGCAAAUGUG